GGUCUUGUAGCUUAACUGGAUAGAGCACCUCACUACGGAUGAGGAGGUUGUAGGUUCGAAUCCUACCAAGAUCAC
rnacentral:tRNA from 1 species